rnacentral:rRNA from 1 species
AUGCCGGACAGGACGGGCGCCGCCGUGCUUGACGACCUGCCCGACGACAUCAUCGUCGGCAAGAUCCUCAUCCUGCUUCCGCCCAAGGACAUCGGGCGCUGCCGCAUGGUCCGCACGUCCUGGCGCAGCGCCACCUCCACGCCGGAAUUCAUGGUCGAGCACCGCCGCCGGCAGCCGUCGCUCUCAAUCAUCGACGGGAAGGGGCAGCGAGCCAGUUUCGUCACCCUCCGUGACGCUGCUGCCGCCGGAGCCACCAGCCAGCAGCUCUGGCCCUUCCUCUCCCGGUGCCGUAAAUCCUGCUGCAAGAUUCGCCUCGAUGCCUCCAGCGAUGGCUUCCUCAUCGUCUCGCGGGGAGACCGGUUCUACAUCUGCAACCCGACCACCCGCAAGCACGCUCACCUGCCAUUUCCUCGCCCUCCUCUGCCGCGCUCCUCCUGCAUCAAUGACAUCUACAUUCACGGCCUCUACCACCACAAAUCAACCGGCAAAUACAGGCUGCUCUUGUCCAACAUUCACAAGAAAGAAGCCACAUUGUACGUCCUCACCCUAGAAAGAGCCAACGAGUCGAGGAGCAUCCAAAUCGUCAUGCCAACACUGCCUUCGCCUUCCCUGGAACAAACGUGUUGGUUACUCUAUGCGCUAUGCCGGUUCUCACCCGUCCACUACCGUGCCAAUCUGCACUGGCUGUUGGAUAAUUCUAGACUUAUUGAUGACAGCAGCACUGGAAAUAUUAUUGUGUUCGAUACAGAAGCCGAGACAUUCCGCUGGAUGAGAAACCCUGCCUACAACAGCAUCAUGAACUGGUUGUUUGACAUGGAGGGCACGCCUGCUUUUCUAGGCACGUCGGCUUAUGUCCACAGCGCCGCCAUGGCCACCGCCAUGGAUGUUUGGGUGAUGCAGGACUACGAGGCUGAAACCUGGGCCUUCAAGUACCGGAUCGACGUGUCAAUGAUAGAGGCGUCACGGCUACUUGAUUCAGCUUCUCCCAAAGAGACAAGUAAAAGGAAUCUACCACUUGAUUCAACAGUGAGAUUUUUCAGUGGGAUGACUCCGCUUAAUGAGCGUGAGCUGCUGGUCAGCUUUAAUGAUAAACAUGUCUUGCGUUGCGACACUGACGGCAAGUUCUUAGGACUGGUGACCAUUGGUCAGAGACAGUUUUGUAUGGAGCUUACCGACCAUCGCCUCCAAGAGAGCAUUAUGCCGAUUCCCUCGGGUGAGAUGCAAGGAGAAGACGAGGACUUUCCAUUCUCCACAGAGCAUGACUUCUGA